CGGCCGCGCGGGGCCCGAGUCAGCCGGAGGAGGGACCGCCCAGUCCGACGGCGCGGCCUGCCUCCCGCCGCCCGGCCCCCAGCCUGCGAGUCGGCUCCCCUAGGGGGCAGCGUCCUCCUCUUCCCACUUCCCCGCCCUCCGCUUCCCUCCCGACCCCGGGAGGACGUGGUGUCCGGCGGCGAGCUGACCCGCCCUGCCCCGCCCGGGCCCCUGGGCCGGCUGUGUUGCUCCCCGUGGUGCUGGGAAGGUGGGAGUACCGGCGAGAUAGCGCGCAGCGUCUCCGCCUAAACUGCCAACUUCAGCAGGCGGCACAAAGCCUGGGGUGGAGGGAGAGGCGAAAGCGAAUUUUAGACAAGCGCCCGUCUCCCUCCCCCACUCCUGGUGGAAAACGGUGUCAUUUGGUUUUUUUCCCACACUUGGAACUUCAACCGUUGAUGCCCGGUUUUGAUGGAUGAGCGUUUUAGGUGAUAAGCCGGAGGGAAGAAUUUGACAAGAAAGGACACUUAUCCCACUGCAGGGUGACUGGAAGAGCAGAGUCCUUGGAAACGGUCCCCAGGACACUCCCGGCAUCAGCCAGAGGAGUCACCAACUCAGCAAGGGAUGGAAUGCUACCAGUCUGUCAGUUCCCCUUUCUUGUUAGCCAGGAUACCUUCCCCUAUGGAAACAUCUCCAUGAGGAUCCCAUAUGGGUGCUGGUUCUAGUUCCCGCUGCUUCACUUCCCAUCCAGCUUCCUGCUUGUGGCCUGGGAAAGCAGUCAAGGAU